UACAGAGGUCUCAAGCGUUGUUCGGAUUCAUUGGGCGUAAAGGGUGCGUAGGUGGCGGGGCAAGUCAGGUGUGAAAUCUCGGAGCUCAACUCCGAAACUGCACUUGAUACUGCCUUGCUGGAGUACUGGAGAGGAGAUUGGAAUUCAUGGUGUAGCAGUGAAAUGCGUAGAGAUCAUGAGGAAGACCAGUGGCGAAGGCGGGUCUCUGGACAGUUCCUGACACUGAGACACGAAGGCCAGGGGAGCAAACGGG
rnacentral:rRNA from 1 species